rnacentral:rRNA from 1 species
CAGUCGCCGCGGUAAAACGAAGGGGGCUAGCGUUGCUCGGAAUGACUGGGCGUAAAGGGCGCGUAGGCGGCGAUUAAAGUCAGGCGUGAAAUUCCUGGGCUCAACCUGGGGGCUGCGUUUGAUACUUGAUUGCUAGAGUGGGGAAGAGGGUCGUGGAAUUCCCAGUGUAGAGGUGAAAUUCGUAGAUAUUGGGAAGAACACCGGUGGCGAAGGCGGCGACCUGGUCCUUGACUGACGCUGAGGCGCGAAAGCGUGGGGAGCAAACAGGAUUAGAUACCCGGGUAGUCCCUGUCUCUUAUAC